rnacentral:rRNA from 1 species
AAUAGAUACCCGGGUAGUCCACGCCCUAAACGAUGUCUACUAGUUGUCGGGUCUUAAUUGACUUGGUAACGCAGCUAACGCGUGAAGUAGACCGCCUGGGGAGUACGGUCGCAAGAUUAAAACUCAAAGGAAUUGACGGGGACCCGCACAAGCGGUGGAUGAUGUGGAUUAAUUCGAUGCAACGCGAAAAACCUUACCUACCCUUGACAUGUCAGGAACCUCCGAGAGAUUGGAGGGUGCCCGAAAGGGAGCCUGAACACAGGUGCUGCAUGGCUGUCGUCAGCUCGUGUCGUGAGAUGUUGGGUUAAGUCCCGCAACGAGCGCAACCCUUGUCAUUAGUUGCUACGAAAGGGCACUCUAAUGAGACUGCCGGUGACAAACCGGAGGAAGGUGGGGAUGACGUCAAGUCCUCAUGGCCCUUAUGGGUAGGGCUUCACACGUCAUACAAUGGUACAUACAGAGGGCCGCCAACCCGCGAGGGGGAGCUAAUCCCAGAAAGUGUAUCGUAGUCCGGAUCGCAGUCUGCAACUCGACUGCGU